rnacentral:rRNA from 1 species
GACGUAGGAUGCAAGCGUUGUCCGGAAUCAUUGGGCGUAAAGCGUUCGUAGGCGGCAUGUUAAGUUUGAUGUUAAAGCCCGGGGCUCAACUCCGGUAAGGCAUUGGAUACUGGCAAGCUAGAAUACGGUAGAGGCAAGGGGAAUUCCUGGUGUAGCGGUGAAAUGCGUAGAUAUCAGGAGGAACACCGGUGGCGAAAGCGCCUUGCUGGACCGUUAUUGACGCUGAGGAACGAAAGCCAGGGGAGCGAAUGGG